rnacentral:rRNA from 1 species
CGAGAGGACCGUGUUGGACUGACCUCUGGUUUACCGGUUGUGCCGCCAGGUGCAUUGCCGGGUAUCUAAGUCGGGAUUGGAUAAGUGCUGAAAGCAUCUAAGUACGAAGCCAGCCACAAGAUUAGAUUUCUCAGGGUCGUUGUAGACUACAACGUUGAUAGGAUGCAGGUGUACAGGCAGCGAUGUCAUAGCCGAGCAUUACUAAUUGCCCGUUCACUUUUUGCC